rnacentral:misc_RNA from 1 species
CGUUUGCUUCAAACCCAAACGUUUCUUCGCAGGCGGUGACGCGUUGAGGCGUCGUCCGGACAACGGGCGUCCCUUGAAGUGCGAACCCCCCCCCCCCCCCCCCCCCCCCCC